AUGAGGGGAUUAUUAUGCCUCCAACUUGUGCUUACCAUGGGUGAGUCAGGAUUCAGGAGGCCUAAUCUACUUAUCCUGCGAAGUCAAGUGAAUGAAUCGCGGGAGAUGCUACUGCUGCUGGUUGGAACGCUGAUGAUCGUGUGUGUGCUUGUUGCCGCUGCUUGCAUGUGGAUGAGUAGUAUAGUGCACAGCUGCAUGAGCUUGGGACAUAUGUGCUUUGAUACAUUGCUUUUUUUCGCUAUGGGCUUUAAUAUUCUACUCCAUUUCCGAGGGAUAAAAAUGUUUGAGGCUACUAUAGUAUAUGUGAAAUAUACAAUUAUUCAUUACUUGUUUUCUUACCAUCUAAUGUGUUUGGCAUUUCUUCUUUCGGAUUUACAUCUCCUCUUUGUGCAGGAGGUACAAGGUCUCACCACAUGUUGA
rnacentral:rRNA from 1 species